rnacentral:rRNA from 1 species
UACGUAGGGGGCAAGCGUUGUCCGGAAUCAUUGGGCGUAAAGAGCGUGUAGGCGGCCCGGUAAGUCCGCCGUGAAAGUCCAGGGCUCAACCCUGGAAUGCCGGUGGAAACUGCCGGGCUGGAGUCCGGAAGAGGCGAGUGGAAUUCCUGGUGUAGCGGUGAAAUGCGCAGAUAUCGGGAGGAACACCUAUGGCGAAGGCAGCUCGCUGGGACGUUACUGACGCUGAGACGCGAAAGCGUGGGGAGCAAACAGG